AAGUCGUAACAAGGUUUCCGUAGGUGAACCUGCGGAAGGAUCAUUAUCGAAUAUGAUUCGAAGAGGUAGAGAGACUGUCGCCUGGCCAGAUCUUGGCAUGUGCACGUCCCCUCACCUUUUCUAUCUACACACACCUGUGCACCUAUUGUAGAUCCCUCUCGAAAGAGAGGGAACUAUGUUUUCAUCACAUCACACACAAUGUAUGUCUAGAAUGUAAAAAACAAUAUAUACAACUUUCAGCAACGGAUCUCUUGGCUCUCGCAUCGAUGAAGAACGCAGCGAAUUGCGAUAAGUAAUGUGAAUUGCAGAUUUCCAGUGAAUCAUCGAAUCUUUGAACGCACCUUGCGCUCCUUGGUAUUCCGAGGAGCAUGCCUGUUUGAGUGUCAUCGAAUUCUCAACCAUUCUCUCUUUUCUGGGAGUAUGGCUUGGACUUGGGGGUUGCUGGCAGCACUGUCAGCUCUCCUUAAAUGUAUUAGCAAUCGAGUUGGCUAGUCUUUUGACGUACACGGCCUCGGACGUGAUAAUGAUCGUCGUGGCUGGAGCGUCUUUCCUAGACUAUGUACAUAGAUCGCUUCUAAUCUGUUGUCUAUCGAGCUUAGCUACUAGGUAGUCUUUUUGGCUGGCGAACGCAAGCGAGACAUUCACAUU
rnacentral:rRNA from 1 species